GAUAAACGCUGGCGGCGUGCCUAAUACAUGCAAGUCGAGCGAACGGACGAGAAGCUUGCUUCUCUGAUGUUAGCGGCGGACGGGUGAGUAACACGUGGAUAACCUACCUAUAAGACUGGGAUAACUUCGGGAAACCGGAGCUAAUACCGGAUAAUAUUUUGAACCGCAUGGUUCAAAAGUGAAAGACGGUCUUGCUGUCACUUAUAGAUGGAUCCGCGCUGCAUUAGCUAGUUGGUAAGGUAACGGCUUACCAAGGCAACGAUGCAUAGCCGACCUGAGAGGGUGAUCGGCCACACUGGAACUGAGACACGGUCCAGACUCCUACGGGAGGCAGCAGUAGGGAAUCUUCCGCAAUGGGCGAAAGCCUGACGGAGCAACGCCGCGUGAGUGAUGAAGGUCUUCGGAUCGUAAAACUCUGUUAUUAGGGAAGAACAUAUGUGUAAGUAACUGUGCACAUCUUGACGGUACCUAAUCAGAAAGCCACGGCUAACUACGUGCCAGCAGCCGCGGUAAUACGUAGGUGGCAAGCGUUAUCCGGAAUUAUUGGGCGUAAAGCGCGCGUAGGCGGUUUUUUAAGUCUGAUGUGAAAGCCCACGGCUCAACCGUGGAGGGUCAUUGGAAACUGGAAAGCUUGAGUGCAGAAGAGGAAAGUGGAAUUCCAUGUGUAGCGGUGAAAUGCGCAGAGAUAUGGAGGAACACCAGUGGCGAAGGCGACUUUCUGGUCUGUAACUGACGCUGAUGUGCGAAAGCGUGGGGAUCAAACAGGAUUAGAUACCCUGGUAGUCCACGCCGUAAACGAUGAGUGCUAAGUGUUAGGGGGUUUCCGCCCCUUAGUGCUGCAGCUAACGCAUUAAGCACUCCGCCUGGGGAGUACGACCGCGAGGUUGAAACUCAAAGGAAUUGACGGGGACCCGCACAAGCGGUGGAGCAUGUGGUUUAAUUCGAAGCAACGCGAAGAACCUUACCAAAUCUUGACAUCCUUUGACAACUCUAGAGAUAGAGCCUUCCCCUUCGGGGGACAAAGUGACAGGUGGUGCAUGGUUGUCGUCAGCUCGUGUCGUGAGAUGUUGGGUUAAGUCCCGCAACGAGCGCAACCCUUAAGCUUAGUUGCCAUCAUUAAGUUGGGCACUCUAAGUUGACUGCCGGUGACAAACCGGAGGAAGGUGGGGAUGACGUCAAAUCAUCAUGCCCCUUAUGAUUUGGGCUACACACGUGCUACAAUGGACAAUACAAAGGGCAGCGAAACCGCGAGGUCAAGCAAAUCCCAUAAAGUUGUUCUCAGUUCGGAUUGUAGUCUGCAACUCGACUACAUGAAGCUGGAAUCGCUAGUAAUCGUAGAUCAGCAUGCUACGGUGAAUACGUUCCCGGGUCU
rnacentral:rRNA from 1 species